rnacentral:rRNA from 1 species
ACGGGUGAGUAACACGUAGGCAACCUGCCCACCAGACGGGGAUAACGACCGGAAACGGUAGCUAAUACCGGAUAGAUCCUGUCGCCGCAUGGCGAGAGGAAGAAAGGCGGCUUGGGCUGUCGUUGGUGGAAGGGCCUGCGGCGCAUUAGCUAGUUGGUAGAGUAACGGCCUACCAGGGCGACGAUGCGUAGCCGACCUGAGAGGGUGAACGGCCACACUGGGACUGAGACACGGCCCAGACUCCUACGGGAGGCAGCAGUAGGGAAUCUUCCGCAAUGGGCGCAAGCCUGACGGUGCAACGCCGCGUGAGUGAAGAAGGUUUUCGGAUCGUAAAGCUCUGUUGCCAGGGAAGAACGACUUUUGGAGGAACUGCCAGAAGAGUGACGGUACCUGAGAAGAAAGCCCCGGCUAACUACGUGCCAGCAGCCGCGGUAAUACGUAGGGGGCAAGCGUUGUCCGGAAUUAUUGGGCGUAAAGCGCGCGCAGGCGGCCGUUUAAGUCCGGUGUAUAAGCCCGGGGCUCAACCCCGGAUCGCACGGGAUACUGGAGGGCUUGAGAACAGCAGAGGAGAGUGGAA